CCAAUAGCGUAUAUUAAAGUUGUUGCAGUUAAAAAGCUCGUAGUUGAAUUUCGGGGUCAGUAGGUUGGUCAUGCCACCGGUAUGUACUGGUCUCACUGAUUCCUCCUUCCUGAUGAACCGUAAUGCCAUUAAUUUGGUGUUGCGGGGAGACUGGACUGUUACUUUGAAAAAAUUAGAGUGUUUAAAGCAAGCUAACGCUUGAAUACAUUAGCAUGGAAUAAUGAAAUAGGACGUUCGAUCCUAUUUUGUUGGUUUCUAGGAUUGACGUAAUGAUUAAUAGGGAUAGUUGGGGGCAUUAGUAUUCAAUUGUCAGAGGUGAAAUUCUUGGAUUUAUUGAAGACUAACUACUGCGAAAGCAUUUGCCAAGGAUGUUUUCAUUAAUCAAGAACGAAAGUUAGGGGAUCGAAGACGAUCAGAUACCGUCGUAGUCUUAACCAUAAACUAUGCCGACUAGGGAUCGGAUGAUGUUAAUUUUAUAAUGACUCAUUCGGCGCCUUACA
rnacentral:rRNA from 1 species